AUUGAACGCUGGCGGCAGGCCUAACACAUGCAAGUCGAGCGGAUGAAGGGAGCUUGCUCCUGGAUUCAGCGGCGGACGGGUGAGUAAUGCCUAGGAAUCUGCCUGGUAGUGGGGGAUAACGUCCGGAAACGGGCGCUAAUACCGCAUACGUCCUGAGGGAGAAAGUGGGGGAUCUUCGGACCUCACGCUAUCAGAUGAGCCUAGGUCGGAUUAGCUAGUUGGUGGGGUGAAGGCCUACCAAGGCAACGAUCCGUAACUGGUCUGAGAGGAUGAUCAGUCACACUGGAACUGAGACACGGUCCAGACUCCUACGGGAGGCAGCAGUGGGGAAUAUUGGACAAUGGGCGAAAGCCUGAUCCAGCCAUGCCGCGUGUGUGAAGAAGGUCUUCGGAUUGUAAAGCACUUUAAGUUGGGAGGAAGGGCAGUAAGUUAAUACCUUGCUGUUUUGACGUUACCAACAGAAUAAGCACCGGCUAACUUCGUG
rnacentral:rRNA from 1 species